GACGAAGAACGUAGCGAAAUGCGAUAAGUAAUGUGAAUUGCAGAAUUCAGUGAAUCAUCGAAUCUUUGAACGCACAUUGCGCCCCCUGGUAUUCCGGGGGGCAUGCCUGUUCGAGCGUCAUUUCACCACUCAAGCCUCGCUUGGUAUUGGGCAACGCGGUCCGCCGCGUGCCUCAAAUCGACCGGCUGGGUCUUCUGUCCCCUAAGCGUUGUGGAAACUAUUCGCUAAAGGGUGUUCGGGAGGCUACGCCGUAAAACAACCCCAUUUCUAAGGUUGACCUCGGAUCAGGUAGGGAUACCCGCUGAACUUAAGCAUAUCAAUAAGCGGAGGA
rnacentral:misc_RNA from 1 species